AUGACGUCCAAGUAUGUCAAGUGCCCCAUCUGUGGCCGACCUUUCGCGGCGCUUUCACAUCACCUGAAAAGGUCCCACAAGGUGGUGCACCCAGAAGAGCGUCAGCUUCUUUUGAAGCUGGCAAGUAAGAGGGUUUUUUACCGGUACGAGGCCUGCCCCGUCCCUGGCUGCCGGUACCACUCCUCCAGGUGUGACAAACACCUGGAAACCUGCCACCCUGAGCUCACUAAGGAGCAGAUGGAACGUGUCGUACAGUCGGUUCAGAGAAAGGUCACCGUCCGCUGGCUGGCAGCCCUCAGGGCCACUGCCCCUCACCCUCCCAUGGUGAGCCAGCUGGACCAGGAGGACGACACUGACAUCUGGCCUGAUGAGGAUGCAGAACCGCAGGCCAACUGUCAGGGUUGCAUCACCCUCCAGCGGAAGUACGAGGGUGUCAAGCUGCAGCUGGACAACCUCCGAAAGACCUUCCGCCUGUACCACCGGAGGGUGGCCAAGUUUGAGAGGAGGACUGGGAGUAAAAUAACCAAAAACCUCCCUCUUCCGGAGGAGCAGGUUCACGUCCGUCCGUCCACGUCACGUGGACCGAAGCAGCGGCCGGGAGGACGUUCGGAUGCAGCUGUGAGACGCCCGCCCUCCAAGCAGGCUGGAGAACCGCGGUCCGGACGGACUAAGGAAAGACAGGCCAGAAGAAGGGUGGCCACCCCAUCACCACCUUCCUCGCCAACAUCAUCUUCCUCAGCACCCUCCUCCACUUCACCACCACCCUCCCGCCAAUCGCCACCACCAUCACCACCCUGGCAAUUAUCACCAUCACCACCCUGGCAAUUAUCACCAUCACCCUCCCCACCACCACCACCAUCACCACCCUGGCAAUUAUCACCAUCACCACCCUGGCAAUUAUCACCAUCACCUUCCCCACCACCAUCACCGUCCCGCCACCCAUCCAAACAUAAAACGCCCCCGGUUUCUUUGGAGUCAGAGAAAAGACUGGCCGGCAGCGUGGCCCCCUCCUCUGGCCGGAGGGAAGGACCGGACUCUCCUCCGCCGGCCAAGAGGAUCCAUAAAACACGCCACACCGGUGGCAGCCCGUCACCAGAGGAGUCCCCCGAGGAGUCCCAGCCGCCACGCAAGGGGGGAAAGACACCUCGCCAGAGUCCCGCCUCGCUGCUGUCAGGCUUCUCCUCAGCAAUGGAAGAUUACCUGGACGACUAUCGGACUUUCCUCCGAGGGUUACACCAGUCCAAAAAACAUAUAGACAACGUGGCCUCCAAGGUCAUGAGGAUCAGGAGGUUCCUUAACUUCAUGGCGGUGGGGGCCCUUCGGCUGUGGGACUGGAGCUUCCUGACACGGACGGAGCGCAUCAUGGAGUGGGUUGGUCACCUAAAGAGGUGCGGGAAGAAGGUGACCACCGUCACCUUCUACCUCAGGAACGUUUAUUCCUUCUUCCGCUACUUUAAAGAAACACCGCCACGUAAUUGCCGGCUGAAGGGGUCGCAGAUUACGGCAGUGCUGCGUUCCAUUUUGCAGUGCAUCUCUCCUCUCCUAAGAGACGUGGGCAUGCACCAGAUGAAGGUGAAGGAGGCCAAGCAGAUGCGGGUCAUCUCCGUGGCCGACCUCAACCUCUGCCAGCAGCGCUGCCGUGAAGCUAUUCCUCAGCUGCUGGAACGUCUGGAGAAGGAACCGACGGACCACAAAGUCCGCUACCGGUUCUUCGGGUUCUUGGCGGCAUUCAUCUCCUCAAUCUACGGCCACAGGACGGGCGUCAUCUCCAACAUGACGGUGAAGGAGGUGACGAAUGCCCGCAAGAAGGCCAAAGAGGAUAGCCCCGGCUUUGUCAUCAACAUCGCACACCACAAAACCAACAGGUUUUUUGGAUAUGCGCAGGUCUUCCUGAAGCCUGAUGAGUUCGCCUGGAUGGAGAGGUGGCUGGCCGUAAGACAGAAGCUGAAGCCGGAAGGGGACCUGGUGUUCUUUGGAGCUACGGCACAGCCUAAUAAGAACCUGGUCCACUUUCUGCAGACGGCGUGGGAGGAGAUGGGGCUCUCAGGGAAGCCCACCUUCACGGACCUCAGGACCGCCAUAGCAUCACAUGCUAAGGAAAGGCACAUACCCCAGGUCCGUGAAUUAAUAUCUGCGGCCAUGUGCCACGACGUUCGCACGGCGGACAAAUUUUACACUGUCUUUUUGGACCCGGUGAAGUGCGCCGCCAUGCGGGACAUGUUUGAAGAGGCCACAUCUACCCAGGGCUCUACCCGGGAGGCCCCGGCUCCUUUUGACAUACCGUUCACAUCACAAAGUGUUCCCGGAACUGUGGACACCUCCGGCCUCACUUCUCAGCUCCCUCCACGUAGGAAGGCCCAGCGGCGGGAGAAAACCCCGACAGAAACAGCGUCGGAAGGGCACGUCAGCUACCAGGAGAGUGGUAGCUCUGAGUCUGCGGAGGACGAAGAAGACGACAACCAUCCUGGUCAAAGCACACCUGUCCAAGGUGCACAGCCGGAGCCGAUCGCCCCAGAGCUGACAGUCGAACCUUCUGAGGUGAGUUCUUUCAGUCGCCAUUGCAGACCUGAUCCUGGGUUCAGUUGCUUCUGGCUGUUAACCUUGAAGGCUGCUUUAUGAUGAUGACUUUAUCACUAUUGUGUUCCACCGUAAGGCUUGACAACCAGAGGAGCCUGAGCCGUCCCUGGGGCCAUCUGUAAGUACAAUUGAGAAAUGAUUAAUCUGUCACUGAGCUGUAUUGUCAUUUCUAAACUUGAAUCUUUUCAUGUAUCUUUUGCAUGAUCGCACACAGCUAAGAACCAGACGAAGGCCCAAGUUAGUGUUAAUUGUUAAUUUCAUAUUUUUGAUCAUUUUCUGUUUUCCUAUUUGGAAAUAACUAAUCAAUGGCUUCUGUUUUCCUACACACAGCGGCGUCAGUAUCCAGGGUGGUCCUGAGCCCGCUUAAAAUUACAGCCAAGUAAAAGAAGGACCAGGCAAGGCGGAUGCUCCGUUUUAAGUACAAGGUUUCUUUGUAGCUGUGUUUGACAAUAAUUUACAUUUCAUUUAGUUAGAUUACAGCCUGUUGCACUUUUUUUUUUAUCAUGCUUAUGCCAUUGUCAGAUUUUGUUUGGUUUGUUUUUUAGUACUUGUCUUUGCUAAUAAAGCAGUGUUUGAAAACAUUCGGUUUGGUUUUUCACACUCACUUACCAGUCAUUUACUACACUUUGACCUUUUCCAUUAUAAUGUAGGUUAAAUGGCAAACGUUUGACAUUUUCCCUACAAAUGUAGGUAAAGUAGCAAUUAUUUGCCAUUUGCUUAACAAAUGCCAACAAAAUGGCAGAAAUUUGUCAUUUUACAUACAAAUGUAAAGAAAAUGACUGUCAUUGUCCAAACAAAUGUAGUGAAAAUGGCAAUGAUCUGCCAUUUGAUGGAUAAGUGUAGGGAAAAUGGCAAUAAUUUGCCGUUUGCCAGGCAAAUGUAGGGAAAAUGGCUACCAUUUGCCAUUUUAUGGACAAAUGUAGUAGACUGGCAAGCCAGACUAAAUAAAUGUAUUAUUUAGUGUAUUAUUUAGUCCAGUGGUUCCCAAACUUAUUUAGCCGCGCACCCCCUUCUAUGUCCCGACCAAGUCGACGCACCCCCCAGCCCCCACAUCAGGGCAUGGCUAUAUAUAUAUAUAUAUUAGGGCUGGGACUUGAUUAAAAAAAUUAAUCUAAUUAAUUACAGGCUUUGUAAUUAAUUAAUCUCGAUUAAUCACAUUUUAAUCGUUCAGGAAAAUACGCUCUCAAAGUAAAACUUUUAAUUAAAAUUAUGAGACAGAGAAUCAAACAUUAGACAUGGUUAUUACUGUAAACUAAAGCUUUUAAUAAAAUGCAUUUUAGUUAUUCACAUGUCACUGUGUGAUAUGAAACAAAACCCAAAUCAACUAAAAUUUAUAAUUACAAAUAGAAAACACCUGCAAAUGGUUCCUGAGCCUUUAAAUAGUCUCUCUGUCUAGUUGAAUGACUGAAAUUAAUUUGACUUUGCACCAGAUUCUAAUUUUUCCAGUUUCACUUGUUUGUAUAAUUGGGAGAUUUUAUUAGCAUUUCUGCUCAUAAUAUAGUAAAAACACAUAAAUAAUAAUCCUUCAAAAUGACAGUAGAACAGGCACAGAUAUGAUCUAGGACUUAAAUGUACUAACUUUUAACACCAGAGCAGGCAUGGCAUAUUCUGAGAAUGAUCAGGAACACUAACUGGUUCCAGUUGGAUGACUGGAGGUUGAUGGGAAGAUAAAAGAUCAUGGCGAGGAAAUAAUGAUCUGACGAACAGGUGAGCGGACCUUCCUUACAUGGGAAGUCCUGAUGUCACGUUAAGAAGGGGAUGCUGCAGACCCGCAGAUUCACGCCUGCAGCAGCGAAUCUGGUGUGAUCUCCAGCCUGA
rnacentral:lncRNA from 1 species